rnacentral:RNase_P_RNA from 1 species
UGAGUUUGUUAUACGGUCGCGGUGUCUUGAAAAAGACAAUGAGGAAAGUCCGAGCAGCGCAGGACGGAGUGCCUGAUAACGUCAGGUGAAGGUGACUUUAAGGAUAGUGCAACAGAAAUAAACCGCCGAAAUUUUUCGGUAAGGAUGGAAAGGCGAGGUAAGAGCUCACCGAUAUCUUGGUAACAAGGUAUGCCAUGUAAACCCCACUUGCUGCAAGAUUGGGUAUUCGUCAAAAUGGGUUGUCCGCCCGACGGAUACCGUGAAUAUCGCUUGAGCUUAUCGGUGACGGUAAGCCUAGAUAGAUGACCGUACACGACAGAACUCGGCUUACAGACAAACUCAAAUC